GGGGAUGUUUUGGAUUCGACAGGUAUAGGUUGAGUUCGAAUUGCGUCUCGUAGUUGCGUGACGAAAAGACGCUCAGUUAAAUAUAACUGCAAAAAAUAAUAACAAUUCUUACGCUUUAGCUGCCUAAGCGCAGCAGCGUAGAUCCGUCUAGUAUCGUCCAUGUAUUAGAGCCGGGUCUUAAAUAAGUGGACUUGCGUCAGUUGUUGCCACCUGAGGCAACUGAAAGAGGAAAAUAGGUUAGCUAUUGAUGCUAGCCUGGUUGUGCGGCGUAGUCAAUAGCGAAUUUUAAAUAGCAUGACUAUGGACGUAGAAAUUCGAAUGGCAAUAUGCUUGGACGCGGGUUCGAGCCCCGCCAUCUCCAUUA
rfam:Lactobacillus ghanensis DSM 18630 NODE_33, whole genome shotgun sequence.